rnacentral:rRNA from 1 species
UACGUAGGGGGCUAGCGUUGUCCGGAAUCAUUGGGCGUAAAGAGCGUGUAGGCGGCUCGGUAAGUCCGCUGUGAAAGUCCAGGGCUCAACCCUGGAAUGCCAGUGGAAACUGUCGAGCUAGAGUGCGGAAGAGGCGAGUGGAAUUCCUGGUGUAGCGGUGAAAUGCGCAGAUAUCAGGAGGAACACCAAUGGCGAAGGCAGCUCGCUGGGACGGUACUGACGCUGAGGCGCGAAAGCGUGGGGAGCAAACAGG